AUUGAACGCUAGCGGCAGGCCUAAUACAUGCAAGUCGGACGGGAUUGAGUAGCUUGCUAUUCAUGAGAGUGGCGCACGGGUGCGUAACACGUAUGUAACCUACCCUUGUCAGGGGGAUAGCCUCUCGAAAGAGAGAUUAAGACCGCAUAACAUUGUAAUGUGGCAUCACAAAACAAUCAAAUAUUUAUAGGACAAGGAUGGGCAUGCGGAACAUUAGCUAGUUGGUAAGGUAACGGCUUACCAAGGCUACGAUGUUUAGGGGAUCUGAGAGGAUGACCCCCCACACUGGUACUGAGGCACGGACCAGACUCCAACGGGAGGCAGCAGUAAGGAAUAUUGGUCAAUGGGCGGAAGCCUGAACCAACCAUGCCGCGUGCAGGAAGACGGCCCUAUGGGUUGUAAACUGCUUUUGCAGGGGAAUAAACCUCGAUACGUGUAUCGAGCUGAAUGUACUCUGAGAAUAAGGAUCGGCUAACUCCGUGCCAGCCGCCGCAGUAACAC
rnacentral:rRNA from 1 species